rnacentral:rRNA from 1 species
AGGGCACCACCAUGGGGUGGAGCCUGCGGCUUAAUUUGACUCAACACGGGGAAACUCACCAGGUCCAGACAUGAGUAGGAUUGACAGAUUGAUAGCUCUUUCUUGAUUUUAUGGGUGGUGGUGCAUGGCCGUUCUUAGUUGGUGGAGUGAUUUGUCUGGUUAAUUCCGAUAACGAACGAGACCUUAACCUGCUAAAUAGCCAGGCUGGCUUCGGCUGGCCUCUGGCUUCUUAGAGGGACUAUCAGCGUUUAGCUGUUGGAAGUUUGAGGCA